GAUGAACGCUAGCUACAGGCUUAACACAUGCAAGUCGAGGGGCAGCAUGAUUGAAGCUUGCUUCAAUCGAUGGCGACCGGCGCACGGGUGAGUAACACGUAUCCAACCUGCCGAUAACUCGGGGAUAGCCUUUCGAAAGAAAGAUUAAUACCCGGUAGUAUAGUAUUUCCGCAUGGUUUCACUAUUAAAGAACUUCGGUUAUCGAUGGGGAUGCGUUCCAUUAGAUAGUUGGCGGGGUAACGGCCCACCAAGUCAACGAUGGAUAGGGGUUCUGAGAGGAAGGUCCCCCACAUUGGAACUGAGACACGGUCCAAACUCCUACGGGAGGCAGCAGUGAGGAAUAUUGGUCAAUGGACGAGAGUCUGAACCAGCCAAGUAGCGUGAAGGAUGACUGCCCUAUGGGUUGUAAACUUCUUUUAUACGGGAAUAAAGUGGAGUAUGCAUACUCCUUUGUAUGUACCGUAUGAAUAAGGAUCGGCUAACUCCGUG
rnacentral:rRNA from 1 species